rnacentral:misc_RNA from 1 species
GAUUGACCUGCAAGCGAGCCCUCUCAAGCUCAGCAUGUAGGGCUGAGAUAAGAGACAUGCUUGAUGAAGGCCGAUCUUCACUACCCCAUACACGAUUGAUAAUUUUUAACAGUUCUUUAGAUGUGGUCAAAGCAUUACUGACAUCCUUCAACCGAGUCUUAGCUCCAACAGUAGAUCCAGUAGGGGUUUGGGCUCGAUAUCUAGUCUCAAUCUCCAUUAAACUGGCAUUGCUAAUAGAAUCAAAUGCUCCAACACAAUGGUCUGCAAGCGUAAGCCUUUGAGAAACUGCUG